rnacentral:SRP_RNA from 1 species
GCUGGGCAUGGUGGUGCAUGCCUGUAAUCCCAACUACUCAGGAGGCUGAGACAGGAGAAUCACUUGAACCCAGGAGACAGAGGUUGCAGUGAGCCGAGACUGCACCACUGCACUCCAGCCUGGGUGACAGAGUAACACUCUGUCUCAA